CUCAAAGAAAACACUGGUCAGGACCGGGAGUCUGAGAGCAGGGUCCCACUCUGUCACCCAGGCUGGACUGCAGUGGUACAAUCUUGGGUCACUGCUGCCUUGACCUCUCAUGCUCAAGUGACCCUUCCACCUCAACCUACCGAGCCUACUACAGAGACAGGGUCUCAUUCUGUCACCCAGGCUGGACUGCAGUGGUACAAUCAUAGCUCACUGCAGCCUCAAACUCCCAGGCUAAAGCAAUCCUCCCACCUCAGCCUCCUGAGUAGCUGAGACUACAGACUCCUUCUCCAAGAGCGGUGUUCUGCUUCCAGGAGGCUGCAUUCCAUCAGGGUAGAAUCAACCUGGGGAAGCCCUGGCUGCUCUCUGGAAGUGGCUGGCCUGAGUGAGAAACCUCACCAAGGGUACCUCUCCUUGUCUCUUAUCAGCACU
rnacentral:lncRNA from 1 species